CUCAAAUCGUACGCUACAAAUAUUUUUGGUAGCAUCAAUACAAAACAAAGUACAUAAUAUUAUCUGAAUUGACAAUCAACCAAAGCAAAAUGAACCAAGACGAAGACAUUUAUUUUGAAAGGCUCUGUCAGGCACAACAAAAAGAAGCCAAAGAAUUUAGACAAUAUUUGGACGAUCAAGAAAGAGAGAGCAGAUCAAAUACAGGCAAGCAUAAACUACAAUGUUCUGAAUGCAAUAGAUUAUUUUCGAAUAAGGCUAAUUUGAAGGCGCAUAUCAAACGGAAACAUGAAACAAAAACUACGGACGAAAUCAAAACAAUGCUAAAAUCAAGCAAAUUGUUGAUAGAACGACCGAAAAAUGCAAAAUUUAUUUGUGAUA